GCGCAGCAGUCGAGAAUUUUUCUCAAUGGGGGCAACCCUGAAGGAGCGACGCCGCGUGGAGGAUGAAGGCUUUCGGGUUGUAAACUCCUGUCAUUUGAGAACAAGUGUAGCCAAGUAACUACUGGCUACUUGAUAGUAUCAGAAGAGGAAGGGACGGCUAACUCUGUGCCAGCAGCCGCGGUAAUACAGAGGUCCCAAGCGUUGUUCGGAUUCAUUGGGCGUAAAGGGUGCGUAGGUGGCGCCGUAAGUGGGGUGUGAAAUUUCGGAGCUUAACUCCGAAACUGCAUUCCAUACUGCGGUGCUUGAGGACUGGAGAGGAGACUGGAAUUCAUGGUGUAGCAGUGAAAUGCGUAGAGAUCAUGAGGAAGACCAGUGGCGAAGGCGGGUCUCUGGACAGUUCCUGACACUGAGGCACGAAGGCUAGGGGAGCGAACGGGAUUAGAUACCCGUGUAGU
rnacentral:rRNA from 1 species